AGUGGCGAACGGGUGAGUAACACGUGAGUAACCUGCCCUUGACUCUGGGAUAACCUCCGGAAACGGAAGCUAAUACCGGAUAUGACGCACGGAGGCAUCUCCUGUGCGUGGAAAGAACUUCGGUCAAGGAUGGACUCGCGGCCUAUCAGGUAGUUGGUGAGGUAACGGCUCACCAAGCCUACGACGGGUAGCCGGCCUGAGAGGGUGACCGGCCACACUGGGACUGAGACACGGCCCAGACUCCUACGGGAGGCAGCAGUGGGGAAUAUUGCACAAUGGGCGCAAGCCUGAUGCAGCAACGCCGCGUGAGGGAUGACGGCCUUCGGGUUGUAAACCUCUUUUAGUAGGGAAGAAGCGAAAGUGACGGUACCUGCAGAAAAAGCACCGGCUAACUUUUUUGUCAGCAGCCGCGGUAAUACGUAGGGUGCGAGCGUUGUCCGGAAUUAUUGGGCGUAAAGAGCUCGUAGGCGGUCUGUCGCGUCUGCUGUGAAAACCCGAGGCUCAACCUCGGGCCUGCAGUGGGUACGGGCAGACUAGAGUGCGGUAGGGGAGAAUGGAAUUCCUGGUGUAGCGGUGGAAUGCGCAGAUAUCAGGAGGAACACCGAUGGCGAAGGCAGUUCUCUGGGCCGUAACUGACGCUGAGGAGCGAA
rnacentral:rRNA from 1 species